CGAGCGCACCCUUGUCCUCAGUUACCAGCACGUCAUGGUGGGCACUCUGGGGAGACUGCCGGUGACAAACCGGAGGAAGGUGGGGACGACGUCAAGCCAUCGUGGCCCUUACGGCCAGGGCUACACACGUGCUACAAUGGUGCAUACAGACGGUUGCCAAGCCGCAAGGUGGAGCUAAUCUGAGAAAGUGCAUCGUAGUCCGGAUUGGGGUCUGCAACUCGACCCCAUGAAGUCGGAAUCGCUAGUAAUCGUGAAUCAGAAUGUCACGGUGAAUACGUUCCCGGGCCUU
rnacentral:rRNA from 1 species